GCCUGGGUGGCUCCGUCGGUUGAGCAUCUGACUUCAGCUCAGGUCAUGAUCUCACAGUUCGAGGGUUCGAGCCCCACGUCAGGCU
rfam:Felis catus isolate Cinnamon breed Abyssinian chromosome C1, whole genome shotgun sequence.